UUAUCACUAAAAAAAAACUUUAUAGUAUUAAAAUUUCAAAUUAAUUUUUUUUUUUUACUAAAAAUUGUUUUAAAAAGCAUUUAGAAAAUUGUCCCAAAAACUAUUUUUUUGCUUCCUCCUCGGUUGGCUUCCCGAACUAGUAAGAGAAUUGGGGAAGACACAAUAGAUACAAUCCGUCGAAUGAAUGGUAGGGUUUUUUAUUUCUUCGGUUUUGUAUAAGCUUACCUGAGCCGUCCUAUCUUCAGUGAAUUGUUCAAAAUAUAUCGCAGAUGAACCGGCCAAUAAUCUGAAAACGGGACCGGUUUUACUGUUUGUUCGAACAAUUCCGAGCUAGUUCUAUGUAAUACCGGUUUUGAAGCAAAUCAGAACGGGCUGGCCUUCCUGUUCGAGGCGCUGAACAAACCCUUCGGUCGCGGUUCUGUCUUUACUCCUUAUGCUGCCCAGUAUAACCAAGUUACUUCAACUUGUCUACCUUCAUUCGAACAUCAAUCAAUUCAAAGCUCUCCCCUCUCCCUCAAUUAAAAUCAUCACAAUCUGAUUGAAUAAGGAUGAUUUUCUUUGUUGGGCCCAAUUGGUUCGAAAGGGCAUCAAAAGGAGAGGUGAAAUCGUUUACAAUAUCAGAGAUGUAAAGGAACCUGAAAUGAAGGUUGCAAAGAACUCAUUGAUAAGGAUAGGGUAGUUAACUACAUGAUUGAAGAGAUGUGAAAAUUAUCUUGUUAUAGUACCAUCAAAGAUUUGAGAUGAUAUAUCUCACAAAUAUGCUCGGAUUUGAGAAAUCAUUUUCUAGUGUAUGAAUCAGCCUUAUGAUUUGGGGAGUUUCAUCAAGUUGAGUAUUCAGAAACAAAAUAUCUUACAAAUGAAUACAUCUAGUGUAUGAAUCAGCCUUAAAUACAACAAGAUGUAACCUUUUUUUGGAAAUAAUAGAAUAUGUACUACAAAUGAAUCAUCUUCACAGCUGAGCCUCAUGUUUUUGUAAGGAAGAAAUUCCCCAAAAAUAUUAUUGCUCUAAUUGUUUUUGAAGUAGAUAUCAUAUCUGUUUAUUGAGAAAAA